rnacentral:rRNA from 1 species
GAUGAACGCUGGCGGCGUGCCUAAUACAUGCAAGUCGAGCGAACAGACGAGGAGCUUGCUCCUCUGACGUUAGCGGCGGACGGGUGAGUAACACGUGGAUAACCUACCUAUAAGACUGGGAUAACUUCGGGAAACCGGAUCUAAUACCGGAUAAUAUAUUGAACCGCAUGGUUCAAUAGUUAAAGACGGUUUUGCUGUCACUUAUAGAUGGAUCCGCGCCGCAUUAGCUAGUUGGUAAGGUAACGGCUUACCAAGGCGACGAUGCGUAGCCGACCUGAGAGGGUGAUCGGCCACACUGGAACUGAGACACGGUCCAGACUCCUACGGGAGGCAGCAGUAGGGAAUCUUCCGCAAUGGGCGAAAGCCUGACGGAGCAACGCCGCGUGAGUGAUGAAGGUCUUCGGAUCGUAAAACUCUGUUAUUAGGGAAGAAAAACUGUGUAAGUAACUAUGCACGUCUUGACGGUACCUAAUCAGAAAGCCACGGCUAACUACGUG